AGGCUUCGCAAUUGGAAUGGGAACACUUCAAAUCCUUUAUCGAGGAUCUAUUGGAGGGCAAGUCUAGUGCCAGCAGCCGCGGUAAUUCCAGCUCCAAUAGCGUAUAUUAAAGUUGCUGCGGUUAAAAAGCUCGUAGUUGGAUCUCAGUCUUGAUCGGACGGUUCAUUUCACGAUGAUACAGUUCGAAUCGGACAAUUGGCCGCCUUUCUCCGUAUGCUCUUGAUUGAAGUGUGCGGAGGAAGUGGCACGUUCACUUUGAAAAAAUUAGAGUGCUCAAAGCAGGCCUUAGCCUGAAUCUUCGUGCAUGGAAUGAUGGAAUAGGGCCUCGGUUCUAUUUUGUUGGUUUCCGGAACUCGAGGUAAUGAUUAAAAGGGACGGACGGGGGCAUUCGUAUUGCGACGUUAGAGGUGAAAUUCUUAGAUCGUCGCAAGACGAACUACUGCGAAAGCAUUUGCCAAGAAUGUUUUCAUUAAUCAAGAACGAAAGUCAGAGGUUCGAAGGCGAUCAGAUACCGCCCUAGUUCUGACCAUAAACGAUGCCAACUGGCGAUCCGUCGGUGUUAAUCCAAAUGACCCGACGGGCAGUCUCCGGGAAACCAAAGUUUUCGUGUUCCGGGGGAAGUAUGGUUGCAAAACUGGAACUUAAAGGAAUUGACGGAAGGGCACCACCAGGAGUGGAGCCUGUGGCUUAAUUUGACUCAACACGGGAAAUCUCACCAGGCCCGGACACCGGCAGGAUUGACAGAUUGAGAGCUCUUUCUUGAUUCGGUGGGUGGUGGUGCAUGG
rnacentral:rRNA from 1 species